UACGAAGGGGGCUAGCGUUGUUCGGAAUUACCGGGCGUAAAGCGUGCGCAGGCGGUUAUGCAAGACAGAUGUGAAAUCCCCGGACUCAACCUGGGAACUGCAUUUGUGACUGCAUGGCUAGAGUACGGUAGAGGGGGAUGGAAUUCCGCGUGUAGCAGUGAAAUGCGUAGAUAUGCGGAGGAACACCGAUGGCGAAGGCAAUCCCCUGGACCUGUACUGACGCUCAUGCACGAAAGCGUGGGGAGCAAACAGG
rnacentral:rRNA from 1 species